UUGACAACAAUAUACUUUCUUUGCUCAGGACGGGUACAGCCUGGGCAGCAGCAGUGCAAACUUCCUUGAACUGCCUUAUGAAUGUACCUCCAUCUUAGUCAGGAAGCAACUAUCUCUAAGGGCAAGAAGAUAUUGCAGUUCAGCUUCUAUAGCUCUA
ensembl:misc_RNA